AGAGUGAACGCUGGCGGCAGGCCUAACACAUGCAAGUCGAACGGCAGCGCAGAGGAGCUUGCUCCUUGGGUGGCGAGUGGCGGACGGGUGAGGAAUACAUACGGAAUCUGCCCGAUCGUGGGGGAUAACGUAGGGAAACUUACGCUAAUACCGCAUACGACCUUAGGGUGAAAGCGUGGGACCGCAAGGCCACGCGCGAUUGGAUGAGCCGAUGUCGGAUUAGCUUGUUGGCGGGGUAAAGCCCACAAGGCGACGAUCCGUAGCUGGUCUGAGAGGAUGAUCAGCCACACUGGAACUGAGACACGGUCCAG
rnacentral:rRNA from 1 species